rnacentral:tRNA from 1 species
GGGCCCGUGGUCUAGCGGCUUAACCUUUUUAGCAAGAAAAGGUUCUGCAGAUGAUACCGCCUUUACACGGCGUAGAUCGCCGGUUCGAUUCCGGCCGGGCCCA